CCCUCCAGUGAUCCUUUUCCUUGUGUUAGAAUUUUCUUAGACAUAUAUUUUGACUUCGGAAUCUUAGUACAGUAACUUAUAGUUUUAUCAGGAAUUUUUGUUUCUAAUUUUCUUUUUCAGUUUAUUCAUUCUUUUAUACCAAGUUUUAUUGAAUUUUGAUGCAACUUAUAGCUUUAUCAGGGAUCUUUGUUGUUGUUUUUUGUUUUAGUUUAUUCGUCCCUUUAAAAUAUUUUAUAUUUGAUCUAAUAAGUCA
rnacentral:lncRNA from 1 species